UAAGAAGCAAGAGGCGUAGCGAGGAAAAAACAAUUGUGCGGCGCAAAACGAAGAAUGGCCACCGGCUACCAGAAUAGUACGAAUUUCUUAGAUUGCAUUUAUUUGGAGGCUCAAUGGAAGAGAAAGACUUAAAUUCUGGUGUGAUUGUUCAAUAAAUUAAGGUAAGUCAAUUUCUAAACCCUUGUUAAGUGUAUGAAAUGCGUGUACUUCCUUGUGGUAUAUAUUUGGGAGUAAUGGGACUUAGUGAUAGCUUGACUUGUCCACGUGGAUUAAUUCUAAUGAUAAAAAGGCGUAACAAAAGACGAUGUAAUUAUUUGUUUGUAUGUGAUGUGUUGAGAAUGGUACGAGUACCGUGUUAUAAUGGGAAUGUUUAUUACUAUAGAAUAUGGAUUGUAAUCCGAGAAUGCCAAAACAUAUGGGCAUUAACUGAUAUAUUAUCGAUUUGAUUUAUUAUAUGUGAUUGUGUUCUUUAUUGAACCCAUAUAAUUGUGAUAAUUAAGGUGAUUUUAUGUCAUAGCGACAUUUGAUUUAUUGAGAUAUUGCAUCAUCUCCUUUAUUUGAUAUCAUAUUGUGCACAUGCACUGACAUGAGAUUGGGUAUGAGUAAAGGUCUAACACGUGGAGAUCGUCCGCGUUGAGAUCGAGUUAUGAUUAUUUGGGCACGUGGAGAUCGUCCAUGCGAUAGAAAAGUUAUGAUUAUGAUUUGGGCAUGUGGAGAUCGUCCGUGCGAAAUUUGUUUCAUUAUGAUAGUGUGUUGAGAUCGUACGCGCAGACACGUGGAGGUCGUCCGCGUCGAUAUAUGGACCUCGCGAGUCCCCCAUGGGUCAUGAACUCUCGAUGUAUUUCCGAGAAGUAUAAUGUAUAUACGGUUGAAAGAGUACUUGGUAUUUGGAGGCAUAUCAUUUCAUGGUGUCAUAUUGCAUUGCAUCCCAUGACAUCCUUCAUUCUUUAUGAUUAUGUAUUUUAUUGGUGAUUGGAAGGUAUUUGAUAUUUGAUGAACUUGAUCUGGUGUUUUGCUGAUAUUGUGAGUGCCUUUUUGUGGAGUGUAUAAUUGAAGAAUUAUUGAGCUUA